UACGUAGGGGGCAAGCGUUGUCCGGAUUUACUGGGCGUAAAGAGCGUGUAGGCGGCCAAGCAGGUCCGUUGUGAAAACUGGAGGCUUAACCUCCAGACGUCGACGGAAACCGCGUGGCUAGAGUCCGGAAGAGGAGAGUGGAAUUCCUGGUGUAGCGGUGAAAUGCGCAGAUAUCAGGAAGAACACCAAUGGCGAAGGCAGCUCUCUGGGACGGUACUGACGCUGAGACGCGAAAAGCGUGGGGGAGCGAACAGG
rnacentral:rRNA from 1 species